UGGGGAAUCUUGGACAAUGGGCGCAAGCCUGAUCCAGCCAUGCCGCGUGAGUGAUGAAGGCCUUAGGGUUGUAAAGCUCUUUUUGCCGGGGACGAUAAUGACGGUACCCGGAGAAUAAGUCCCGGCUAACUUCGUGCCAGCAGCCGCGGUAAUACGAAGGGGACUAGCGUUGUUCGGAAUCACUGGGCGUAAAGCGCACGUAGGCGGAUUUGUAAGUCAGGGGUGAAAUCCCGGGGCUCAACCUCGGAACUGCCUUUGAUACUGCGGAUCUCGAGUCCGAUAGAGGUGAGUGGAAUUCCUAGUGUAGAGGUGAAAUUCGUAGAUAUUGGGAAGAACACCAGUGGCGAAGGCGGCUAACUGGUCCGGUACUGACGCUGAGGUGCGAAAGCGUGGGGAGCAAACAGGAUUAGAUACCCCUGUAGUCCCUGAGCGGGCUGGCAAGGCGCAU
rnacentral:rRNA from 1 species